AAUAAGAUGGCUGAAAAAGCGGUAAAUUGUAAAUUUAUGAAUGAUGUAAGUCUCUUAUUA
rnacentral:tRNA from 1 species